UCGGGAUGAAGCGCCGAAAGGAAUUUCAGCAAAGAGAUUUGCAGAGCAGCAUGUCACGGACUUAGCGCUUUCAUUCGCAAAGCCCGUGCAGCGCCCACCUUUCUUCGUAGAGAUGGACAAGCCUUUGUCUUUGUUGCAAGUCCGGACCUUUGCGUCCUAUGACUAAAUAUGGAAAGGAAAAAAACAAGAGAAAGAGGCAAGAGAUUCUCUCAAAAAGCUAAGUACUAUACUAUUUAGAAAAAGAGAUUAUAGCAUACAAACACACUCUCUCUUGUGUGUUUUGGCCUUAGCCAACCCCACCAUUUAUAGACUCCUAAGUACAUUGAAUGUAGUCACUCAACACACCCACUAACUCAUACAUAAUGAGCCCUCAUAAUAGCUAAAAGCUUAAGAAUCACAACAUAACUCAUGACAGUUUUGCAACCAUUGAGUUUCCCACAGCGGGUUGGGUUUGAGUCUCCUUGACAAUCCGAUUCAACCCGUUUUCGUUAGUAGAGUUGGGCCAGGGACCGGGCUGCCACAGAAUUAUUCUAAGUCCCGACACCCUCCUCCACCUAAUGCGCAGGCAUCCUCGUCGCGCGCUGCGUCUGAAACUCGUCGAUGAGUGCUUGGUACUGCCAAAGUGUAUCCGCUUUC
rnacentral:lncRNA from 1 species